GGGGAUGACGUCAAAUCAUCAUGCCCCUUAUGACCUGGGCUACACACGUGCUACAAUGGACGGUACAAAGAGCUGCAAGACCGCGAGGUGGAGCUAAUCUCAUAAAACCGUUCUCAGUUCGGAUUGUAGGCUGCAACUCGCCUACAUGAAGCUGGAAUCGCUAGUAAUCGCGGAUCAGCAUGCCGCGGUGAAUACGUUCCCGGGCCUUGUACACACCGCCCGUCACACCACGAGAGUUUGUAACACCCGAAGUCGGUGGGGUAACCUUUUUGGAGCCAGCCGCCUAAGGUGGGACAGAUGAUUGGGGUGAAGUCGUAACAAGGUAGCCGUAUCGGAAGGUGCGGCUGGAUCACCUCCUUUCUAUGGA
rnacentral:rRNA from 1 species